UACGAAGGGGGCUAGCGUUGCUCGGAAUUACUGGGCGUAAAGGGCGCGUAGGCGGCGCGGUAAGUCACUUGUGAAAUCUCUGAGCUUAACUCAGAACGGCCAAGUGAUACUGCAGUGCUAGAGUGUGGAAGGGGCAAUCGGAAUUCUUGGUGUAGCGGUGAAAUGCGUAGAUAUCAAGAGGAACACCUGAGGUGAAGACGGGUUGCUGGGCCAACACUGACGCUGAUGCGCGAAAGCCAGGGGAGCAAACGGGG
rnacentral:rRNA from 1 species